rnacentral:rRNA from 1 species
AGUCGAGCGAGACCUUCGGGUCUAGCGGCGGACGGGUUAGUAACGCGUGGGAAUAUACCCUUCACUACGGAAUAGCCUCGGGAAACUGGGAGUAAUACCGUAUACGCCCUUUUGGGGAAAGAUUUAUCGGUGAAGGAUUAGCCCGCGUCUGAUUAGAUAGUUGGUGGGGUAAUGGCCUACCAAGUCUACGAUCAGUAGCUGGUUUGAGAGGAUGAUCAGCAACACUGGGACUGAGACACGGCCCAGACUCCUACGGGAGGCAGCAGUGGGGAAUCUUAGACAAUGGGCGCAAGCCUGAUCUAGCCAUGCCGCGUGAGUGACGAAGGCCUUAGGGUCGUAAAGCUCUUUCGCCAGAGAUGAUAAUGACAGUAUCUGGUAAAGAAACCCCGGCUAACUCCGUGCCAGCAGCCGCGGUAAUACGGAGGGGGUUAGCGUUGUUCGGAAUUACUGGGCGUAAAGCGCACGUAGGCGGAUUGGAAAGUAUGGGGUGAAAUCCCAGGGCUCAACCCUGGAACUGCCUUGUAAACUCCCAGUCUAGAGUUCGAGAGAGGUGAGUGGAAUUCCAAGUGUAGAGGUGAAAUUCGUAGAUAUUUGGAGGAACACCAGUGGCGAAGGCGGCUCACUGGCUCGAUACUGACGCUGAGGUGCGAAAGUGUGGGGAGCAAACAGGAUUAGAUACCCUGGUAGUCCACACCGUAAACGAUAAAUGCCAGACGUCAGGGGGCUUGCCCUUUGGUGUCACACCUAACGGAUUAAGCAUUCCGCCUGGGGAGUACGGUCGCAAGAUUAAAACUCAAGGGAAUUGACGGGGGCCCGCACAAGCGGUGGAG